rnacentral:rRNA from 1 species
UACGUAGGGUGCGAGCGUUAAUCGGAAUUACUGGGCGUAAAGCGUGCGCAGGCGGUUUUGUAAGCCAGAUGUGAAAGCCCCGGGCUUAACCUGGGAAUGGCAUUUGGGACUGCAAGGCUUGAGUGCGGCAGAGGAGACUGGAAUUCCCGGUGUAGCGGUGAAAUGCGCAGAUAUCGGGAGGAACACCAAUGGCGAAGGCAGCUCGCUGGGACGUGACUGACGCUGAGACGCGAAAGCGUGGGGAGCAAACAGG